GAUGAACGCUGGCGGCGUGCCUAACACAUGCAAGUCGAACGGAGUCCGGCCUUUAAGUCCUGCGGGUCAAAGAGGUGAAGACUGAGUGGCGGACGGGUGAGUAACCCGUCGGCUACCUGGGUCAUAGAGCGGGAUAACAUAGCUAAAUUGCUGCUAAUACCGCAUAAGCACACACUGCCGCAUGGCAGAGGGCGCAAGGGGAAUCGCUAUGAGAGGGAUCGGCGUGUGAUUAGCCAGUUGGUAGGGUAAGUGCAUACCAACGCGGCGAUCAGUAGGCGAUCUGGGAGGAGGGACGGGCACCAUGGGCCUAAGAGACGGCGCAGACUCCUACAGGAGGCAGCGGGGGGGGAUCUUGCGCAGUGGGGGGGCGCGUGAUGCGGCGACGUUGGGUGAGUAAAGCAGUAUUUCGGUAUGUGAAGCUCUAUCAGCAGGGAGGAGAUUGACGGUAGCUGAAUAAGAAGCCCCGGCUAACUACGUG
rnacentral:rRNA from 1 species